UACGUAGGCAGCAAGCGUUGUUCGGAGUUACUGGGCGUAAAGGGCGCGUAGGCGCCUUCUAAGUCGAACGUGAAAUCCCCGGGCUCAACCCGGGAACUGCGUCCGAUACUGGAAGGCUUGAAUCCGGGAGAGGGAUGCGGAAUUCCAGGUGUAGCGGUGAAAUGCGUAGAUAUCUGGAGGAACACCGGUGGCGAAGGCGGCAUCCUGGACCGGCAUUGACGCUGAGGCGCGAAAGCCAGGGGAGCAAACGGG
rnacentral:rRNA from 1 species